AUGGGAGCCACUGCAACCUGGCAUUGCCAGCAUCUCCGGCAGAUCCAGGACCCAGGGAUGAAACUGCUGCUUGUGGUGGAUGGCGGAAGACUCAGGGACCCCCAAAACAUGAUGGACGCAGUUUGGAAAGCACUGAAGUUUAGCAGCAGGAUGGCAAAUGGGCCAGGGGUGUUGGCUCAACCCUUCUCCCCAUCACAGCUCUUUCCUGUACCGCUUGCUGAAGGCUGUUCAGAGGUGUGGCAUGGACUAGAGAGGAGGGGAGGAGUUCUGUGUUGCAAGCAGCAACUUCUGGAAGGUCCUGGAAGGUUUCACCAGGUCCAUCGUAACCUGCAGAGAGCCCAGGCUCCAAUGCUGCCUCUGCCCCUGACCACUGAGCCCUCUGGGUGGACCCAGUCUCCUCCCUUCCCAGACCUUGGCUUCCUCACCUGUGGGAACAGGGGCUUGACCUUGAGGUCUUUGUUGCUCUCAGGUUGUGCCUUUCCAGUUUAAGAACCUGAGAUCCUUUUCCUCUGGCAGAAAAACCAGGCUCCCCAGGACCUGUCCCAUACCCAGCCAGCGGGACAUUUCACGUCUGUUGCAGAUGCUCUUGCUGCCUCUUCUCAUCCCCUUGGCAUGCUGGGUGAACUUCCCAUGGGCAGCACCUGUGAGCCUUCACUUGAGGAUUCUCUCUUGGGCUGCGCUAUCCAAAUACAGGCAAGUUGGAUGUGCUGGAGAAUUAACGCCCCCUAGGAGCAGCUCUCCGUCAUGACAACAGGAGGUGGUGGGCAAGUGCUGCAGCUCCCCGGGUGGGAAAACUCCGAGCCCUGUGCUCUAUGCUGGCCCCAGAGCCCUCACACGAUGGCGUUCCAAUUGCCCACAGCAGUAAGGGCUUCAUGACACACCCUAUGUGGCUGCCUUCUCUGCUUUCCUUCCCACAUCCUGAUUGAUGUUUCCUGGGAUCUCCCCUCAAAUCAACAGUCAGCACUCAAAUCCUUGUCUUAGGGUCUGCUUCUAGGGGAAAUCCAAACCAAGAUAGUAUCUGCCUAAGCCACUUUUUGUUUGUGAUCUUUGGUGCAAGGUAGUGUAAUGGACAGACCCCUAGGCGGGGUGCUGGGGGAACCCUUGUUUUUCACUUGUGACCUUGGGACCAGGUAACAGGAAUGAAGAGGUAGGGCUGAGGCCUGAUCUGCUUUUAGCGGGGCUGUGGAGCAAGACUGUAGAUGCUCUCUGGUCAUGACUUCCCCUUUGGGGCAGACCCUCCUCUGCCAGGCUGGCCUCAGACACUGGGGCCCUUGCAGACACCCUCGUUGAUGGAGCAGGUCUCAGAGCAGCUGCUGGGGUGGAGUCACACCUCUGCACCUGGCAGCUGGCCUCCUGCACCACCUUUUCCACUGUCUCCUUCUCUCCUUGGAGCCCAAAGAACUUCUUGGAACCUACCAGGUAGUGGGAGUGAGGGCAGCCGUGGUGAUCAGGUGCCCAUCUGGCUUCAGCAGGCUGGCCAGGCUCCAAGGGGCCACCCAGUACAUGUCCACAUAGAGACAGGUGCUCUUCAGGGGCACCUGGGCUGACUCAAGUGGAUGCGGCUUGGUCACAUCACACUUCAGCAACCACGUGAUUGUCCAGCAAAGCUGGUUCUCCUUCUCCUGCCACUCGCUGCUAUGGAAGAGGGUCACAGAAAUGAUAUGAUUAUGACAGUAGCCCCUCAGCCCUCACCACUAUCCUCUGGGCAAAGCCUGUGACUUAACCUGUUCAGCAUCUCUUUGAGCAAGAUAAUGUUUUUUCCAUUAUACAGAUGAAGAAAGUGAGGCACAGACUUGCCCAAAUCAAUACCCCUGUGCAUUUGCUUUUGCUGUAUUUGGAUCCCUUUUCUGUAUUUCUGUAUUCUGUAUUUUGGAUUCCUAUAUGUGGGAUUCCUGGGUCAGAGUUCUAAAAAGUUUCAGUACAACAAAUAAGUUAGGUAAAUAAUCACCAAAUUAUUUUUUCCAAAAGAAAAAACAGUGUUUUCUUCCUUUUAAUUUUCUAGGACAAAUAUUUAAUUUUUCUCUAAUGAAACGUGAGAUAAUGUAACAUAAUGUAGAAUAAUAAAUGUGGUAUUUUUUCUUUGGUCUUUCUUCUAUCUAGGUUUAGAAAAUCCUCUCUUAUCAGAAGUUU
rnacentral:lncRNA from 1 species